ensembl:snRNA U4 U4 spliceosomal RNA
AGCUUUGCGCAGUGGCAGUACCGUAGCCAAUGAGGUUUAUCCGAGGCGCGAUUAUUGCUAAUUGAAAGUGAUGUUGUCCAAGAUGAAAUGUGGAUAUGGAGUCAUCUUUUUUCCCCCUAUGUUUUAAACCGUAGUACUUAAC